rnacentral:tRNA from 1 species
GUGGAUGUGGCCUAGCUGGUCAAGGCGUCAGAUUGUGGCUCUGAAGAUCGAGGGUUCGAAUCCCUUCAUCCACCCCA